CCUACGGGAGGCAGCAGUGAGGAAUAUUGGUCAAUGGCCGGAAGGCUGAACCAGCCAUGCCGCGUGAAGGGCAGGGGCCUAGGGGCGUGAAACUUCUUUUGUGCGGGAGCAAAAAUGGGCACGUGGGGCCAGACGAGAGUACCGUACGAAGAAGCAGCGGCGAAAGCCGUGACAGCAGCCGCGGUAAGACGGGGGAUGCAAGCGUUAGCCGGAGUUAGUGGGUUUAAAGGGGGCGUAGGCUGUGAGGUAAGUCAGCGGUGAAAUGCCCCCGCUCCACGGGGUGAAGUGCCAUUGAUACUGCCUUGCUGGACUGCGGCUGCCGUGGGUGGACUGUGUGUUGUAGCGGU
rnacentral:rRNA from 1 species